rfam:Camelus ferus unplaced genomic scaffold scaffold465, whole genome shotgun sequence.
GUGGGUACAGCUCAGUGGUAGAGCACAUGUUUAGCAUCCACAAGGUCCUGGGUUCAACCCCCUGUACCUCCA